ensembl:ncRNA F53B1.11 ncRNA
AUGGAAAUAGUGCGUGAGUGGCCGGAAAACAGGCAGAUUCCAUUUCACCUUCUUAUUUUUCCCACGAGCUCAUCUUACCGAAAUUAUCGACUAUUACGUUGAUGCUCUUUCAUUGACCUAAACAACACAUGCA